rnacentral:rRNA from 1 species
CAAAGAUUAAGCCAUGCAUGUCUCAGUGCAAGCCAAAUUAAGGUGAAACCGCGAAAGGCUCAUUAAAUCAGUUAUGGUUCCUUAGAUUGUACAACAGUUACUUGGAUAACUGUGGUAAUUCUAGAGCUAAUACAUGCAAAUUGAAUCCCGACUCUUAAUAAGGGAAGGGAUGCUUUUAUUAGAUCAAAACCAAUGAGGCCUUAGGGUCUGAAUACCUUGGUGACUCUGAAUAACUUUUUUGUGCUGAUCGCAUGGUCAAGUACCGGCGACGCAUCUUUCAAAUGUCUGCCUUAUCAACUUACGAUGGUAGGUUCGGCGCCUACCAUGGUUGUAACGGGUAACGGGGAAUUAGGGUUCGAUUCCGGAGAGGGAGCCUGAGAGACAGCUACCACAUCCAAGGAAGGCAGCAGGCGCGCAAAUUACCCACUCCCAGCACGGGGAGGUAGUGACGAAAAAUAACGAUGCAGAACUCUUUCCGAGGCUCUGCAAUCGGAAUGAGUACACUCUAAAUCAUUUAACAAGUAUCCAUUGGAGGGUAAGUCUGGUGCCAGCAGCCGCGGUAAUUCCAGCUCCAAUAGCGUAUAUUAAAGUUGUUGCGGUUAAAAAGCUCGUAGUUGGAUUUGUGUUUCACUCUGUCGGUUCGUUGCCCGUCAGCGUUUAACUGGCAUGUAAGUGGAACGUCCAGCCGGUUGGCGAGGUUGUUUUACCAAAAGUUGGCAAUUUCGUCGUUUUUAUCCUAUCGGGGUGCUCUUUGUUGAGUGUCUCGGUAGGCCGGCACGUUUACUUUGAACAAAUUUGAGUGCUUAAAGCAGGCUUCGUACUGCCUGAAAAUUGUUUGCAUGGAAUAAUAAAAUAAGACCUCGGUUCUAUUUUGUUGGUUUUCGGAGCCCGAGGUAAUGAUUAAUAGGGACAGGCGGGGGCAUUAGUAUUGCGACGUUAGAGGUGAAAUUCUUGGAUCGUCGCAAGACUGACCUAAGCGAAAGCAUUUGCCAAGGAUGCUUCCAUUAAUCAAGAACGAAAGUUAGAGGUUCGAAGGCGAUCAGAUACCGCCCUAGUUCUAACCAUAAACGAUGCCAGCCAGCGAUCCGCCGAAGUUCCUCCGAUGACUCGGCGGGCAGCUUUCCCGGAAACUAGAGCAUUUAGGUUCCGGGGGAAGUAUGGUUGCAAAGCUGAAACUUAAAGGAAUUGACGGAAGGGCACCACCAGGAGUGGAGCCUGCGGCUUAAUUUGACUCAACACGGGAAACCUCACCAGGCCCAGACACUGGAAGGAUUGACAGAUUGACAGCUCUUUCUUGAUUCAGUGGGUGGUGGUGCAUGGCCGUUCUUAGUUGGUGGAGCGAUUUGUCUGGUUAAUUCCGAUAACGAACGAGACUCUGGCCUGCUAACUAGUCGCGUAAACCUUUUAUAUUGUUUCUAGUAUAACCUGUUUAACGGUAUACUACUAUCUUCUUAGAGGGACAGGCGGCUCCUAGCCGCACGAGAUUGAGCAAUAACAGGUCUGUGAUGCCCUUAGAUGUUCUGGGCCGCACGCGCGCUACACUGAAGGAGUCAGCGUGUGAACGAUCCUUGGCCGUAAGGUCCGGGCAACCUGCUGAACUUCCUUCGUGCUAGGGAUUGGGGAUUGCAAUUAUUUUCUAUAAACGAGGAAUUCCCAGUAAACGCGAGUCAUAAGCUCGCAUUGAUUACGUCCCUGCCCUUUGUACACACCGCCCGUCGCUACUACCGAUUGAACGAUUUAGUGAGGUCUUCAGACC